AUGUUGAAUCGCCAGGAUC
rnacentral:piRNA from 1 species